rnacentral:lncRNA from 1 species
GCAUUUUUGUCUUCUCCCCCGCUCCCUAAUUCUGUUGAAGUGAUGUACCACAUGUGACUGGGGCCGUGUUAGAAAACACGAUCCAUCCCAUGUAAAUCAUGAACCGUCGAACAAAAGUCCUGUUUGUAAAUCUGAGCAUUGGCAGCCAGCUUUUGAAGCUCUCCCAUUUGAAAACAGAUCUGUGAUGCUUUGAGCAAGCAAAGAAAUGCAGUGGGACUCGGCCAGGAUCCCUGGACUUUGCCAAGUUUCUGCUCAAACUCUCUCUGCCUGCAUAAACGAGGAGUUAAACUGGAGUAACAACCUCCAAAUUGGGCUUGACACAAAAAGCAGCAAAACCUAGCUCCAGAGAAAACUGCUCAAAGAAAAUUGCUCUGCCAUAGACUGACCAGUUUCUCAUACUUCUAAAAUAAUUCCAGUUGAUUGGCCCCUCCUGAGAACAGACAACAAGUGAAAUCCCACAACUAAACUGAAUAUCACUCACUUAUUAUUCAGCUUUUGACAUCAGCCCAUUAAGCCUCUUUGUUCACAUGCAAAGACAGAAAAAGGCUUCUGAGGCUGAGAGCCAAAAUACCAAAUCCUGAGAUAGCUGGACAUCUAAGGAAACUGUACUUUUAUGAAGUGAUCUGAGA